rnacentral:lncRNA from 1 species
CUACUAUCUGUUGCUCUCCCUCUCCAGCUAACUUUCUUCCUGUCCAUCUCUCUCUAUCUCUUUGGAUCUCAAUGGGAUGGUGCUGGCUAUAGCUGUCGCUCUCUCCCUCUCUGAUUCUCUUCAUCCCUUUUUUUCAUUGUCUUCCAUCAUCCCUCCAUCCUAAGGCUCUGGCUCCUCCGGCCGGUGCCCUGUCAUUUUUCCCGUGGGCGGCAGCGAGAUAUGAAGCGUCGCCAUGGGUUUCAUGGAAUUCUACUUGGAGAUUGACCCCGUGACCCUGAACCUCAUCAUCCUGGUGGCCAGCUACGCCAUCCUCCUCCUUGUCUUCCUCAUCUCCUGCAUCCUGUACGACUGCCAGGGGAAGGACCCCACCAAGGAGUACGCCCCCGCGCCCCCCGCACCCCCCAGCCAGUCGCCCAUACGCCUUGUGGUCAUGCAGAACUCUCCUGCCUCGUCUCGCUAUGAGCAGCAGAAUCAGAACAACAUGGCUGGUCCAGAACCCAGCAGAAAGCCAGAACCCAGCAGGAACCUGGAACCCAGCAGGAACCUGGAACCCAGCAGAAAGCCAGAACCCAGCAGGAACCUGGAACCCAGCAGGAAGCCAGAACCCAGCAGGAACUUGGAACCUAGAAGGAACCCAGAACCCAGCAGGAAGCCAGAACCCAGCAGGAACCCAGAACCCAGCAGGAAGCCAGAACCCAGCAGGAAGCCAGAACCCAGCAGGAACCCAGAACCCAGCAGGAAGCCAGAACUCAGCAGGAACCACUACGAGUACAACAGGAACCACUACGAGCCGCCGGCGCUGACGCCCACCCCUGACCUGGGGAGGGAGAAGAGGAGCACCCUGGUCUGAGAAGGAGAGAGGGAGGAGGUGGGGGAGUCCAUGACUUAAGAGAAGAGAGAUACUAAGUUCUGGAUUUGACACUGUGGAGGAGAGAGGGAGAAGGUGAGGGAGUCCAUGACUUAAGAGAAGAGAGAUACUAAGUUCUGGAUUUGACACUGUGGAGAGAGGGAGGAGAGGGGAGAUUCGGUUGUAUAGACAAGGCCUGGACUGGACUAGACUGGACUGGAUGUAAAUUGCUGCUGUUUCAUUUAGUAUUUUCUUUUUGCUCUGUCGAUUUUUUUUAUUUUGAUCGUUGAUGUAUGAUGUUGCUGAGAAGGGCAGCAGAUCAGUAUGGAGUCACCAGCACUCAGAAACCAGAGGACCUCUGACAUUAUGGAAUCACCCUCCUCUCUCUCCUGUUCACCCCAUCGCUACAUCGUUGGGCAUGACGAUGCCAAAGGACCAGUAGACGACACCCUGCCACACCUCACUAAGAAUGAACCGCAUUGGGAUCAGGUUCUACAUGUAUAAUGAUGGAACUAUGAACUAAUGGAGAACUGCAAUACCCAAUAGCAUCCAUGUAGUCCACACUACUUCAUAGAAACUGGAGGAGACAUCCAAGCCACAAUGGAACAACAACUUUCAUUAAGACCAGCUACUUCAUAGAAACUGGAGGAGACAUCCGAGCCACAAUGGUACAACAACUUUCAUUAAGACCAGCUACGUCAAUGAAGAGACUGACGGUUGAUUGGAGCAGGAUGUCCUGUGACUGUUCUCCACUCAGCCACAUCAAGCCUCAGUCACGGCAAGUCAUCUGCUCUGCCACGACUUUGAAACAACCAACGGUCAGAGAGUCGUGAUACCGAGGGACUUGACAAGCUAAAGCCUCUUAUGUAAAAAAACAAACAAGGGCCUUGUCAGCUCAGUGCCCAUCGAGACCAACCAAUGACUUGACCAAUCACAGAGCCCCAUUUGCAAUAUGAAUAGCAGCAAAUGAUAUUUCCCCCAUGUUUCAUGUUUGAGGGAUUAGAGUCCAACUCAAGUAUUAUGGGAGAGCGAGGGUUACGUAUUCUUUCUGAUGUUUGCUCUGCUUUGCUUUGGUCCUCUCUGCAGGGUAACACACGUUUCUUCUUGUUAACAGACCAAAAACAUUUUGGUCAUAUUCUGGAUUUGACGUAGGUGGUAGUGGGACUAAUAAGGAUUGGACAUCAGUUAAGGGACUUAGUCUAGGGAGGGAGAUAUUUGUGGCACGCAAGACGGAGGAUUUAAAAUCAAACUUGACUUGAGCCAACGUUCAAAUGAACUUGUAAGCCUGGGGCAUAUUCAUGAGUUAUGAAAUGGAAGCAAACAGGUUGAAACAGGGUGGAAUUUUCCCAAUAAGAACCAAUUGUUGUCUUUUUCUGUUGCAAAACAUUUUGCUACGGUGUGUACACUAAUGAAUAACACCCAGGUUUUGGGGAGAAGUUAGACAUGUUGCUCUCAAAACACAGUAUAUCCUUUAUCAAAUGUUAUAUUUAUGGUACAUUAUUAACAUACCGCUAGAAUAUAUAGCACAUUAAAUAAAAGUAUCACAAAGUAUCACUGUUGCCCAAGCCCCUGUAAAUAACAUUGUAUAAAAAAAGAUGAAUAAAAAACCCUG